rnacentral:lncRNA from 1 species
CUGCAGCUGGAACUGUCCCUCACCAGAAAAAUUCAGAUAACUAUCUUGAAUUUGAUUUCUUUUAAUCUAUUUAUUUAUAUCUUUUUUACUUAGCUGAUUGGCUGUUCCGCUUCACCCACAAAAAAACAUACGAAGUUGUACAACAUCUGGAAGAUGUUACUUUUUUUUACUUAGCCGAUUGGCUGUUUCGCUUCACCAAAAAGGGAACAUACGAAGCUGUACAACAUUUGGAAGAUGUUAAGCCAAGGUUUGGGUAGUUUGAUGAUCAUAUUAUUGUUUGAGUUGAAAUUGAACAGUUAAAAUUUGUUGUAUGGCAAACACUACAAGUUUGAUGCACUAAUCCAUGGUGUGAAUUUGUUGUAGUUUAUAAGCAGUUCUCAUGUUAUGCCUGGACGAACGUUUCCUUCCUUAGAUUUCUCUUUUUUUGUUUCAACAAUUUCAUUAAGGGGUCGUUUGGUAGGGUGCAUAAGAAACUUAUGUUGAAUAUGGUGUAUUAUAAUGCUGUUUUCUUGGUUCAACAAUCUCAUUACUAUGUAUGAGGCUGCAUCAAUUUGUAUUGGAGUCGUUUGGUUAAUAUUCUCUCCUAACCCUUUUC